AUUGAACGCUGGCGGCAGGCCUAACACAUGCAAGUCGAACGGUAACAGGAAACAGCUUGCUGUUUCACUGACGAGUGGCGGACGGGUGAGUAAUGUCUGGGAAACUGCCUGAUGGAGAGGGAUAACUACUGGAAACGGUAGCUAAUACCGCAUAACGUCGCAAGACCAAAGAGGGGGACCUUCGGGCCUCUUGCCAUCGGAUGUGCCCAGAUGGGAUUAGCUAGUAGGUGGGGUAACGGCUCACCCAGGCGACGAUCCCUAGCUGGUCUGAGAGGAUGACCAGCCACACUGGAACUGAGACACGGUCCAGACUCCUACGGGAGGCAGCAGUGGGGAAUAUUGCACAAUGGGCGCAAGCCUGAUGCAGCCAUGUCGCGUGUAUGAAGAAGGCCUUCGGGUUGUAAAGUACUUUCAGCGGGGAGGAAGGGAGUAAAGUUAAUACCUUUGCUCAUUGACGUUACCCGCAGAAGAAGCACCGGCUAACUCCGUGCCAGCCGCCGCGGUAA
rnacentral:rRNA from 1 species